ensembl:lincRNA
CAAAACUAAGAAAGAUAGGAAAAGUUAGGAAAUACACUUUCUUGCUCUUAGAAAUCUACAACUAUUGCCCAUAUUUGUAUCAUUCAUUAAAGGAAGGAAAAAUGAGAAAAUUUAACAAUGAGUACUUGUUUGUUUAAGAAUGUGAAGCAUUUAAAAAGCGUAAAAUAAGAAUAAAACUAUCCAAGGACCCUCCAACACACUUAGAGAACUCUUGGAGCUGAGAGACCUACUUAGCCCGAAAGCUGCUCUGUCUCCUGAACACAAGCAAAGAACUAAGGCAAUCACUUAGAGGAUCUACUGGGGGAGAACACUGAUGCUUGUGGCUAGGAGAGACUUUAGAGGUAGAUGGCUUAAUCUCAGAAGGUCUCACUCUUCAAAAAUUUUAGAGACAGGGGCCCUUUAAGACAGAGUAGACCAGAAAAGACCAGAUCUCCCUAGGUGCAAAAGGACUUUAAUUGUAGAAAUCCCACUGCUGCAACGGAUUCACUACUGGACAAAUAUUUACUGCACACUCACUAUGUUCUAGGCGUUGUGCUAGGUGCUGGAGUGACAGUACCUAGCCAAUGAGCAAGAAAAUACAGGCCAGACCUAUGACAGCUUAGUCUUGAGAGGGAAUUGGGCACAGAACAAGUAACUGGAUAGCCAUUAAGGAGUCCGUUGAACCGUGUGUUGGAUUAACGGGGGUUGUUGUAGGGAAACACCCUGAAGAGAGAUUUAAGUCUUGUUUGUCUUCCCAAUUGUUUGCCUAAAUCCUCUAACAUUUCUUUCCUUCACCUGAUAUUCCACAAACAGCUGUUGGGCAUUUAUGUGGGGGUAGGCAUUUGGCUGAAGAGCGGGCUUCACCCUGGGAAUAAAAGAUGGGUAAGAUAUUGAGUUCUUCUGCUCGAGAGGAAGAUGCCUAAAGAUCACAAGGCCUGCGAGACCAUAAGUAUAAGAGCAAUCUUGCUCACCCCACCAACUCAACCGUCCAGAGCAGCCUGCUUGGUGCUUCGGCCUCGGAGUCCUCCUGAGGCCUGCCUUGCCUACCUGUCCCCUCGGAGGAUCACUCAAUUCCACUCCCGUCACUCAAGCUGGGAUGAGCUCUGCUUUACUCAGGUCAGGUCGGAAUUGCAUGCCAACUGCUCCCCUAGAGUCCAAGCUCAGUCCUAACAUUUCAUUUCCUCUAUAUUUCAGUGUUCUAAAAAACUGCAUUGGUUUGACAGAAAUUAUUCUGAUAACUCCCUUAAGUUUCCACGAAUGUAGGAAUGCAUACAUAUAUAUGUGGCAAACAUACAUAUAGCAAGCUCUUUUAUGUUUUCAGUUCACUUCUGGUUAUAUAUUUGAAUUCAAGAGCCUUUAUGAGUUUACUUCACUGAACAUUUUAUUAGCUUAUAUGUUUAUAUUAAAAGGCAGAGAAGAGGAAAGACCCAGAAUCUGAAAGGUGUCAUUGAAAAUGUUUCCUCUCACAAAAGAAAUCUCUAGAGACCAAUUGUGACUGAACACUCCAAAGCCAUAUUGAUUUGAUGAGUCAUGUAUUUUGAACUGGGUCACAUUUAAUAAUGCAGUUUUAUUUUUUCUAUGAUUGUACUGACAGAGAAC